CUCAUGGUCUUCACGGCUUUUCUUAUAGAAUAAUUCUGUUCAUUAAUAAGUUUAAUAUCCUCUUCCAAGUCGUCUGUGGUCCAAUUAGUUUUAUUAGUCAUUCUACGAUGAACUUUCUACAAAUAAAAAUAAUACUGUUUUACUAAGAUAACGUAGUGUGGGCAAUAGGGAUCAAUAUGUAGGUAAUUAACAAUAAUAAUUUAACUGUUAACAAUUUAACUGCUGAAUUGUACGAUUAAAUGCGACGACUAUUACACAUUACAAGGACAGAAAGAAAUAUUUGUUAUAUUUGGACAUUCUAAUUUAUCCACUCUAAAAAUUAGAUGAAAAUGCCGCAAAAUCUUCACUCUCCGAUGUGUCGUGCGAACUGAGGUAGUCAACGGUAACGUUCGAGAAGUUCGUGUCGGUUGGUCGAGUUCAGUUUGUUUUAUUUUGAGGUGAUCACCAUUGUCAACUGAAUUCCAUUACCUACAUUUCCCCAACUUGCUAAAAUCACAUCUGGGAGAUAGACAGCAAGAGGAUUGGAUCACUACAACAGGAAGUACUUCAGGUCCUUUCGAUCUCUUUCUUUUGGUUCUGUACUUCGAAGCUCCUCUGCCAGUAUUCUGAUGAAACAUAAGUUGUACUGUCCAAGAUGUCCCUGAAUGGCCUAUCUGAGGCCAAUGCGGUUGCCGUGGAGCGAUGGAAGUGUGAUGGUAUUGACCGCUCACUUAGUUGGGAUGAUCACUUAUACUCUGAGUGCUAAAGUCUAAACAGUUUAUGCGCUCUGAUUCACAGAGACUUUUCAUUCAGAGCAUCAAAACCAGUCUCGCAUUUCACGUCGGAAAUUGUUCUGGAGUUCAUCCAAGCGUGAGUAAACGUUUUCAAGACCAAGAAAGAAAUAUUAGGUGCAUUCUCAAGCUGCACCCGAGGACCAGUUGGACUCAGUAUCCCUGUAUGCAACUCAACUUAUUUUUCAAUAUUAUCAUUGAGUAAAGGCAUAUCAAUCUUUGUCUAGCGGCAUGGAUGGGGUUGAAAACAGAGAGGAAUUUAAUGAAAGACGAU